AUUGAACGCUGGCGGCAUGCUUUACACAUGCAAGUCGAACGGCAGCGGGGUAGUGCUUGCACUACUGCCGGCGAGUGGCGAACGGGUGAGUAAUAUAUCGGAACGUACCGAGUAAUGGGGGAUAACCAAUCGAAAGAUUGGCUAAUACCGCAUACGUCCUGAGGGAGAAAGCGGGGGAUCGCAAGACCUCGCGUUAUUCGAGCGGCCGAUAACUGAUUAGCUAGUUGGUGGGGUAAAGGCCUACCAAGGCGACGAUCAGUAGCGGGUCUGAGAGGACGAUCCGCCACACUGGGACUGAGACACGGCCCAGACUCCUACGGGAGGCAGCAGUGGGGAAUUUUGGACAAUGGGGGCAACCCUGAUCCAGCCAUGCCGCGUGUAUGAAGAAGGCCUUCGGGUUGUAAAGUACUUUUGUUAGGGAAGAAAAGGGAAGUGCUAAUACCACUUUUUGCUGACGGUACCUAAAGAAUAAGCACCGGCUCACUACGUG
rnacentral:rRNA from 1 species